rnacentral:rRNA from 1 species
CCUACGGGUGGCAGCAGUGAGGAAUAUUGGUCAAUGGGCGGUAGCCUGAACCAGCCAAGUAGCGUGAAGGAUGAAGGCCCUACGGGUCGUAAACCGCUUUUGCACGGGGAUAACACCCUCCACUUGUGGAGGUCUGCAGGUACCGUGCGAAUAAGGGCCGGCUAAUUCCGUGCCAGCAGCCGCGGUAAUACGGAAGACCCGAGCGUUAUCCGGAUUCAUUGGGAUUAAAGGGAGCGUAGGCGGGUGUUAAAGUCAGCGGUAAAAGCGGGCGGCUCAACCGCGAACCGCAGUUGAAACUGGACGUCUUGAGUACAGAACAGGUAGGCGGAAUUCGUGGUGUAGCGGUGAAAUGCAUAGAUAUCACGAGGAACUCCGAUUGCGAAGGCAGUCUGCUGGGGUGCGACUGACGCUGAGGCUCGAAGGUGUGGGUAUCAAACAGGAUUAGAUAUCCGUGUAGUC